rnacentral:rRNA from 1 species
UACGAAGGGGGCUAGCGUUGCUCGGAAUUACUGGGCGUAAAGCGCACGUAGGCGGUCUUUUAAGUCGGGGGUGAAAUCCUGGAGCUCAACUCCAGAACUGCCUUCGAUACUGGAAGACUCGAGUCCGGGAGAGGUGAGUGGAACUGCGAGUGUAGAGGUGAAAUUCGUAGAUAUUCGCAAGAACACCAGUGGCGAAGGCGGCUCACUGGCCCGGUACUGACGCUGAGGUGCGAAAGCGUGGGGAGCAAAGCAG